GACGGAGGAUGCAAGCGUUAUCCGGAAUGAUUGGGCGUAAAGCGUCCGCAGGUGGCAGUUCAAGUCUGCUGUCAAAGACCGGGGCUUAACUUCGGAAAGGCAGUGGAAACUGAACAGCUAGAGUAUGGUAGGGGCAGAGGGAAUUCCUGGUGUAGCGGUGAAAUGCGUAGAGAUCAGGAAGAACAUCGGUGGCGAAGGCGCUCUGCUGGACCAUAACUGACACUGAGGAGCGAAAGCAUGGGGAGCGAACAGG
rnacentral:rRNA from 1 species